AACGCUAGCUACAGGCUUAACACAUGCAAGUCGAGGGGUACCAUGGUCAAAGCUUGCUUUGACUGAUGACGACCGGCGGAUGGGUGAGUAACACGUAUCCAACCUACCGUAUACACGGGGAUAGCCUUUCGAAAGAAAGAUUAAUACCCGAUGGUGUAAAGAGAUCCCCUGAUUUUUUUACUAAAGAUUUAUCGGUAUACGAUGGGGAUGCGUUCCAUUAGAUAGUCGGUGUGGUAACGGCUCACCGAGUCUAUGAUGGAUAGGGGUUCUGAGAGGAAGGUCCCCCACAUUGGAACUGCGACACGGUCCAAACUCCUACGGGAGGCAGCAGUGAGGAAUAUUGGUCAAUGGGCGAAAGCCUGAACCAGCUAUGUAGCGUGAAGGAUGACUGCCCUAUGGGUUGUAAACUUCUUUUGUUCGGGAAUAACAGACUUCACUUGUGGAGUUUUGCAUGUACCGUUCGAAUAAGGAUCGGCUAACUCCGUGCCAGCAGCCGCGGUAAUACGGAGGAUCCUAGCGUUAUUCGGAUUUAUUGGGUUUAAAGGGAGCGUAGGCGGGGGGUCAAGUCAGCUGUGAAAUACGUACGCUUAACGUUCGUCUUGCAGUUGAAACUGGUUUUCUUGAGUGCGUAUGAGGCAGGCGGAAUUCGUGGUGUAGCGGUGAAAUGCUUAGAUAUCACGAAGAACUCCGAUUG
rnacentral:rRNA from 1 species